rnacentral:lncRNA from 1 species
GAGAUUUUCAAGCACAUCUAGGAAGUAUUUCAAAAGGUAAUUUAGGAAAAAUUUCAAAAGAUAAUCUUUAGGCCCUUCACAUGCUCCUAUCUUCCAGGUUCUGGAAGCAGCUAUCGCAAGUGCUUAAAUGUUCCUCCUGUGACUCUGUGACUGUCCAAAGUCCCUGUUUCCAGUUCAGCUUUCUUUGAAAAGCCCUUGAGCUUUAAUAUCACCAUCAUGCCUCAUUAAAACUCCUAUUCACUGGGUGCAGAAGACUGCUUAUUACUGAAAGUAAUUUGACUAAAACAUAAAUACUGCAAAAUCUGUCUACAUACGUCUCUUUGAAACAACCUGAACUCUUCUCUCAAUAUAAAAUUGAGGUGAAAUACCAAAUUAAGGCACAUGGGUCCGUUAUUGCCAAAGUGAUGGAUUUCCUGACAACCAUUCCACCCAGAAGAUUUUUUUUCCCAGAACUAAUAAUCCCAUCCCCGUUGCUGGUGAUUAACUUAAUAACGAGCAUGACAAUCAACAAACAGAUUGAAAAGGCAACCUACUCAGAAUGGGAGAAAAUAUGAAACCAUAUACCAGAGAUGAAAGUAAUAUCCAGAAUAUAUAAAGAAUUCCUACAACUUGAUAACAAAAACACCCCAAUCUAAAAAUGGACACAGAAUUUAAAUAGACAUUUCUCCAAUGAAGAUGGCCACCACACAUGUGAAAAGAUGCUCAACAUCACUAAUCAUCAAGGGAAAUGCAAAUCAAAACCACAAUAGCACAAUGAGAUAUCAUUUCAGACCCCGUAUGAUGUUAGGAUGGCUACUUUCAAAAAAACAGAAAAUAAGUGUUGGUAAGGAAACACCUGCACACUGUUGAUGGGAUUAUAAAAUGGGCAGCCACUAUGGAAAAUAGUAUGGAGGUUCCUAAAAAAACUGCAAUUAGAAUUCCCAUAUGAUCCAGUCAUCUCCUACUGCAUAUAUAUCCAAAAGAAUUGAAAGCAGGAUCUUGAAAAGAUAUCUGCUCUCCUAUGUUCAUGCAGCAUUAUUCACAACAGCCAAGAUGUAGAGGUGAUUCAAAUGUCCAUCAGUGAAUGAAUAGAUAAAGAAAUGUGGUAUAUACAUACAAUGGAAUCUUAGCCUAAAAAAGAAAGAAUUCCUGUCAUAUGCUACAGCAUGGAUGAACCUUGAGGACCUUAUGUCCGAGGAUGAACACACAAGAGAUUCACAGGAACAAACCAGACCACUGACUUGCUGCACUGAAGUUGCAAUACUUCUGAGACGUAGAUCUCCUUAUUAAUCUAGCUCAGUGUUUUGUUACCUGCAGCACAGAAACACUUUCCCUGAAAAACAGAUACAACUUUUAAAGCAUAAUUUUUAUUCUUUAGGUAUUCUGAUCUCACCCCACAGGCCUUGGAAACCUGAGGCAGUAUUCUUCUGGGAUGUUUCCAACUAGGCUUCCCAUGAGGAUGUUAGAGCCAGCCUGGCUGGUGAAUUUUACUUCUCUCACCUCUCAGAGGUAAGAGGUCUGAGAGGCUCAGGCCCUUCCAGCUUUUGAGGAUUCCAGCAUAGUAGAAACAUAAAAAGGUCCAAAGGGAAUUACAAAAAUAAUCUAUUUUCAGUUCUUAUACUUAACAAGUCAAUUCUUAUUAAAAAAAUAAAUCAAUCAAACUUUUGUUUGAUAUAAUUAUAGAUUCCAAGGAAGUUGUAAAGAUAGUACAGGAGGUCCCUGUGCAUCUUUCACCCAGUUUCCUCCAGUUUUAUGCCACUAGAGUACAAUAUCCAAACCAGGACAUUGACAUUGGAGCCAUAUGCAUGUAUAUUUCCAUGUCAUUUUAUCUCAUGUGUAUGCUCAUGUACCCAUCACUUCAAUCAGGUUAGAGACUAGACCAUCCCUCAUGCUGCCCUCUGAACUACCAACCCUAACCCGUGGAGGUCAUUAAUCUGUUCUUUAUCACUACAAUUUGGUCAUUUUGAGAAUGAAUAAAAUCACACAGUAAUGCAAGCCUUUUGAGACUAGCAUUUUUUCACUCAGCAUAACAUACUUAAGAUCCAUCAAUAAUUCUUCCAUUUUAUUGCCGAGCGGUAUUCUACAGUAUAGAUAUACUAAAGUUUAACUCUUCAUCUAAGGUAGGACAUUUUGGUUGUUUCCAGUUUUGGCUAUUACAAAUAAAGCUUCUAUGAGUAUUCACCUACA